GGCAACCAUAACGGUGUGAGAGGAACCAGAAACACAGCUAUUGCUGGCUAUUUCUGGCCAACUCUUACAAACAAUGUAGCUAAUUGGGUGAGAUGUUGUCACCGCUGUCAGCUGAAUGAUCCCAUCAAGACCAUGGUACCAUUCUUGCAUUCCAUCAAGGUGAAAGAAGCUUGGGAGGUGGUAGGUCUGGAUCUCUUUGGCCCAAUGUGUGAAACUGCCAGAAGUAACAAGUAUGUGUUGACCAUGACUGACCUCUACACAAAGUGGAUCGUUGCUGAGCCUCUACAGUCUAAGUCAGCGAGUGAAGUGUCUGCAGCCAUCAUAGGGAAGCUGUACACAUUUGGCAUGGUUAGGAAGAUCAUUACUGACCAAGGCAAAGAGU